rnacentral:sRNA from 1 species
CGGCAGGUUGGGUGCGGAUCAUGGCCUCUCACAAGCUGCUGGUGCACCCCCCCAAGGCCCUGCUCAAGCCCCUCUCCAUCCCCAACCGGCUCCUGCUGGGGCCGGGUCCCUCCAACCUGGCUCCUCGCAUCAUGGCAGCUGGGGGGCUGCAGAUUAUUGGGCCCAUGAGCAAGGAUAUGUACCAGAUCAUGGAUGAGAUCAAGGAAGGCAUCCAGUACGUGUUCCAGACCAGGAACCCACUCACACUGGUCAUCUCUGGCUCGGCACACUGUGCCCUGGAGGCCGCCCUGGUCAAUGUGCUGGAGCCUGGGGACUCCUUCCUGGUUGGGGCCAAUGGCAUUUGGGGGCAGCGAGCCGUGGACAUCGGGGAGCGCAUGGGAGCCCGAGUGCACCCGAUGACCAAGGACCCUGGAGGCCACUACACACUGCAAGAGGUGGAGGAGGGCCUGGCCCAGCACAAGCCAGUGCUGCUGUUCUUAACCCACGGGGAGUCGUCCACCGGCGUGCUGCAGCCCCUUGACGGCUUCGGGGAACUCUGCCACAGGUACAAGUGCCUGCUCUUGGUGGAUUCGGUGGUAUCUGUGGGCGGGACCCCCGUUUACAUGGACCAGCAAGGUAAGGGUGUGCUCUGAGGGCCCUACCCAGCCCAAGCAGCCUUGGGGCUCCGCGUGCAGGAAGCCCUGCUGGAAGCGUGCGUCCAGCAGCCGACUGCGGAUUCGGCCCCAUCUCCCCCAGGCCCAGGGAAACACUCACUCCUUACUGGGGCAAGAGUGGCUCCAUGAACUACCCGGCACCCCAGUGUUUCCACUGAGCUUUCAGAUCCAGGCAUGGGGACUGGCAGGAGGGACAGCUUCUAGUGGGGGACAUUUGAGACGCCCCAGGGCUAUAGCAGAAGCAGUGGGAAGAGGAAGGGCCAGGGCUCCAGUCAAUCAGGUGUAGGGGACCCCUCUGCCCAACCCCCCAGAGGCUCAGUUUCACAUCUGCCCUGCGCCCUGCCAGGCAGCCCAUAGCAAUAAGAACCACUUUCAGGGU